rnacentral:hammerhead_ribozyme from 1 species
GUAGCUGAAGAGUCCCAGCUGGGACGAAACAGCUGUCCAGUAC